AGAGUUUGAUCCUGGCUCAGAACGAACGCUGGCGGCGUGCUUAACACAUGCAAGUCGAGUGCGCGGUUGUAGCAAUACAACUGGCGCACGGCGCACGGGUGCGUAACACGUGGGUAACCUGCCCUUUGAUGGGGAAUAACCCCGCGAAAGCGGGGCUAAUACCGCAUAAGAUCCGCAAGGAUGAAAGCCGUAAGGCGUCGAAGGAGGGGCCCGCGCACGAUUAGCUAGUUGGCAGGGUAACGGCCUACCAAGGCAAUGAUCGUUAGCUGGUCUGAGAGGAUGGCCAGCCACACUGGAACUGAGACACGGUCCAGACUCCUACGGGAGGCAGCAGUGGGGAAUCUUGCACAAUGGGCGAAAGCCUGAUGCAGCGACGCCGCGUGGGGGAUGAAGCUUCUCGGAGUGUAAACCCCUUUCGACCCGGACGAAUGCCUCGCAAGAGGACUGACGGUACGGGUAUAAGAAGCCCCGGCUAACUACGUGCCAGCAGCCGCGGUAAGACGUAGGGGGCCAGCGUUGUUCGGAAUUACUGGGUGUAAAGGGUUCGUAGGCGGUGUGGCAAGUCGGGAGUGAAAUCUCUGGGCUCAACUCAGAGGCUGCUUCCGAAACUGCUGUGCUUGAGUGUGGGAGAGGCGCGUGGAAUUGCAGGUGUAGCGGUGAAAUGCGUAGAUAUCUGCAGGAACACCCGUGGCGAAAGCGGCGCGCUGGACCACUACUGACGCUGAGGAACGAAAGCUAGGGGAGCAAACAGGAUUAGAUACCCCGGUAGUCC
rnacentral:rRNA from 1 species